rnacentral:rRNA from 1 species
UACGAAGGGUGCAAGCGUUACUCGGAAUUACUGGGCGUAAAGCGUGCGUAGGUGGUUUGUUAAUUCUGAUGUGAAAGCCCUGGGCUCAACCUGGGAAUUGCAUUGGAUACUGGCAGGCUAGAGUGCGGUAGAGGAUGGCGGAAUUCCCGGUGUAGCAGUGAAAUGCGUAGAGAUCGGGAGGAACAUCUGUGGCGAAGGCGGCCAUCUGGACCAGCACUGACACUGAGGCACGAAAGCGUGGGGAGCAAACAGG